rnacentral:misc_RNA from 1 species
UAAUAAGUGUUUUAUGGCACUUUUUAAAUCCAUAUCCACCUUGUGUGCAAUGUCAGUCGAUCUUCUUCACGGAGAUCGACCAAACAUCAACCUUUAUUUUUUAACUCUUUGUCUGAAAAAUAUUAUGAAUAAACAAUUCAAAAUA